rnacentral:rRNA from 1 species
UAACACAUGGGUGACCUACCCCACAGUGAGGAAUACCGGCGAGAAAUCGCCGACAAGACCGCAUAGGCUCUGGUGGGUGGAACCACGAGAGCAAAGUCGCAAGACGCUGAGGGAUGGGCCUGUGGCCGAUUAGCUGGUUGGUGGGGUAAGAGCCUACCAAGGCGACGAUCGGUAGCUGGUCUGAGAGGACGAACAGCCACACUGGGAUUGAGAACGGCCCAG